rnacentral:lncRNA from 1 species
CCAAACUCUAAAACACCAAUAAAAAACAGAUUUAUUAGUUUUCAUCUUCCUGUAUUCGUGAAAUAUAUUCAAACACAGAUGUCAAAAAAAACUAAAAAACAAAAACCAAGAUACAUUGACAUCCCACAAAUACCAUCACUUACAUAGAAUCAAACCCUACGAUAUUACUAGUAUACCUUGACAGCUGUCCGACAUCAAAUUUUGACCAGGGCAUAAAUUACAGUGAACAAGAAUCCAAAAUUCAAGAACACUAAUUCUAUGGAGUGUGUAUCUCUUUGUUCGAUAAGCAAAACUGCAAAUCCAUGUGGGUAAGGACGAGUUGACUGCUUUUCCCCAGUUCUGCUGAUUAAGAUUGAAAAAACUAA